rnacentral:rRNA from 1 species
UUAGUUCAACCUAAAUUAACUUAUACAAACUCAAGUACACAAUUUAGAGCAAUUCUAACAAGGUACAGCCUGUUAGAAUCAGGACACAACCUUAACUAACGGGUAAAUACAUCCGCCUGUACAACAAAGUGGGCCUAAAAGCAGCCAUCUUAUAAAUAGCGUCAAAGCUUAAUUGCAAGACAGAUAAAUUUCACAUCUUAAACCCAACCCUUUACUAAUAUUAAGCAAUUCUAUAUAAUUAUAGAAAUUUUUAUGUUAAAACUAGUAACAAGAAUAAGACAUUCUCUAAUAAUGCAAGUGUAAGCCAGCUCAGGACAACACACUGACAAUUAACAUUUAUUAACACACUAGUAGUAACACAAUCAAGAAAACCCUACUUAACUACAUGUUAACCUAACACCAGAGCAUUUCAAGAAAGAUUAAAAGAAAAAGAAGGAACUCGGCAAAUAUUAACCUCGCCUGUUUACCAAAAACAUCGCCUCUUGCACAACCAUAAGAGGUCCAGCCUGCCCAGUGACUCUGUUCAACGGCCGCGGUAUCCUAACCGUGCGAAGGUAGCGCAAUCACUUGUUCUUUAAAUAAGGACUAGUAUGAAUGGCAUCACGAAGGUUAUACUGUCUCCUUUUUCUAAUCAGUGAAACUAAUCUUCCCGUGAAGAAGCGGGAAUAACAAUAUAAGACGAGAAGACCCUAUGGAGCUUUAAACUAAGUAACAAAUAUCUUUUAUUUAUAAUUUCAAGAACAAUCAAAAUUAACCAGAUAUUAUGAUUACCAGUUUUAGGUUGGGGUGACCAUGGAGUACAAUUCAACCUCCAUGUUGAAAUGAUUUAAAAUCUAAGCCACGAACAACAUUUCUAAGCAUCAACAUCUUGACAUCUAUUGACCCAAUUUUUGAUCAACGAACCAAGUUACCCUAGGGAUAACAGCGCAAUCCACUUCAAGAGCUCAUAUCGACAAGUGGGUUUACGACCUCGAUGUUGGAUCAGGGUAUCCUAGUGGUGCAGCCGCUACUAAAGG